AGCGUCUUGGCGCAGAGGAAGCGCGCAGGGCUCAUAACCCUGAGGUCGUAGGAUCGAAACCUACAGACGCUA
rfam:Allomyces macrogynus ATCC 38327 genomic scaffold supercont3.45, whole genome shotgun sequence.